GAUGAACGCUGGCGGCGUGCCUAAUACAUGCAAGUCGAGCGAACGGACGAGAAGCUCGCUUCUCUGAUGCUAGCGGCGGAUGGGUGAGUAAUACGUGGAUAACCUACCUAUAAGACUGGGAUAACUUCGGGAAACCGGAGCUAAUAUCGGUCCAUAUUUUGAACCGCAUGGUUCAUAAGUGAAAGACGGUCUUGCUGUCACUUAUAGAUGGAUCCGCGCUGCAUUAGCUAGUUGGUAAGGUAACGGCUUACCAAGGCAACGGUGCAUAGCCGACCUGAGAAGGAGAUCCAGCACAAGUGGACGGGGACACGGGCCAGGCUUCUAAGGGAGGCAACAGUAGGGGAAUUUGCGCAAAUGGGGAAAGGCUGACGGAGGCAAGCCGGGUGGGGUGUGGAAGGCCUCGGGUCGGAAAACUCCGUUAUGUGGGGAGAACGUGUAUGAAGUUAACAGUGCGCUUCUUGGCCGUACCCAACAAGAUAGCCACCGCUAACUUCCGGC
rnacentral:rRNA from 1 species